GCACUGCUGAAGAAACCCAUAAUAGGAUGAAACGGCCGUCCAGUGC
rnacentral:hammerhead_ribozyme from 1 species